GAAAUUUUACGGAACACUCAAAGAGUAGAGAGGAGGUCCCCAGGGAAGAUAGCAUGAUGACUCUGGGGAGGCAAGGCCUGCCAAUUGGAGCAGGGGUGGCAGAAAGAAACAAGGAGUCGUAUAUUAGAGGGUAAUGAUUUUGGACUCACUUAUUCACUUUGCAAAAUACUGGGAUGAAGGAACUGUCAUGAGAAAGCCAUGUCCAAUUUGAUGGUAGGG
rnacentral:lncRNA from 1 species